GACGAACCGUGCGAACGUUGUUCGGAAUCACUGGGCUUAAAGGGCGCGUAGGCGGGCCCGCCAGUCCAGGGUGAAAGCCCCCGGCUCAACCGGGGAAGCGCCUUGGAUACUGCGGGCCUGGAGGGGGGUAGGGGCGUGCGGAACUUCCGGUGGAGCGGUGAAAUGCGUAGAUAUCGGAAGGAACACCGGUGGCGAAGGCGGCACGCUGGGCCCGCCCUGACGCUGAGGCGCGAAAGCCAGGGGAGCGAACGGG
rnacentral:rRNA from 1 species